rnacentral:rRNA from 1 species
GAUGAACGCUGGCGGCGUGCCUAAUACAUGCAAGUCGAGCGAACGGACGAGAAGCUUGCUUCUCUGAUGUUAGCGGCGGACGGGUGAGUAACACGUGGAUAACCUACCUAUAAGACUGGGAUAACUUCGGGAAACCGGAGCUAAUACCGGAUAAUAUUUUGAACCGCAUGGUUCAAAAGUGAAAGACGGUCUUGCUGUCACUUAUAGAUGGAUCCGCGCUGCAUUAGCUAGUUGGUAAGGUAACGGCUUACCAAGGCAACGAUGCAUAGCCGACCUGAGAGGGUGAUCGGCCACACUGGAACUGAGACACGGUCCAGACUCCUACGGGAGGCAGCAGUAGGGAAUCUUCCGCAAUGGGCGAAAGCCUGACGGAGCAACGCCGCGUGAGUGAUGAAGGUCUUCGGAUCGUAAAACUCUGUUAUUAGGGAAGAACAUAUGUGUAAGUAACUGUGCACAUCUUGACGGUACCUAAUCAGAAAGCCACGGCUAACUACGUGCCAGCAGCCGCGGUAAUACGUAGGUGGCAAGCGUUAUCCGGAAUUAUUGGGCGUAAAGCGCGCGUAGGCGGUUUUUUAAGUCUGAUGUGAAAGCCCACGGCUCGACCGUGGAGGGUCAUUGGAAACUGGAAAACUUGAGUGCAGAAGAGGAAAGUGGAAUUCCAUGUGUAGCGGUGAAAUGCGCAGAGAUAUGGAGGAACACCAGUGGCGAAGGCGACUUUCUGGUCUGUAACUGACGCUGAUGUGCGAAAGCGUGGGGAUCAAACAGGAUUAGAUACCCUGGUAGUCCACGCCGUAAACGAUGAGUGCUAAGUGUUAGGGGGUUUCCGCCCCUUAGUGCUGCAGCUAACGCAUUAAGCACUCCGCCUGGGGAGUACGACCGCAAGGUUGAAACUCAAAGGAAUUGACGGGGACCCGCACAAGCGGUGGAGCAUGUGGUUUAAUUCGAAGCAACGCGAAGAACCUUACCAAAUCUUGACAUCCUUUGACAACUCUAGAGAUAGAGCCUUCCCCUUCGGGGGACAAAGUGACAGGUGGUGCAUGGUUGUCGUCAGCUCGUGUCGUGAGAUGUUGGGUUAAGUCCCGCAACGAGCGCAACCCUUAAGCUUAGUUGCCAUCAUUAAGUUGGGCACUCUAAGUUGACUGCCGGUGACAAACCGGAGGAAGGUGGGGAUGACGUCAAAUCAUCAUGCCCCUUAUGAUUUGGGCUACACACGUGCUACAAUGGACAAUACAAAGGGCAGCGAAACCGCGAGGUCAAGCAAAUCCCAUAAAGUUGUUCUCAGUUCGGAUUGUAGUCUGCAACUCGACCACAUGAAGCUGGAAUCGCUAGUAAUCGUAGAUCAGCAUGCUACGGUGAAUACGUUCCCGGGUCU